rnacentral:rRNA from 1 species
CCUACGGGUGGCAGCAGUGGGGAAUAUUGCGCAAUGGGGGAAACCCUGAUGCAGCGACGCCGCGUGAGUGAAGAAGUAUUUCGGUAUGUAAAGCUCUAUCAGCAGGGAAGAAAAUGACGGUACCUGAUUAAGAAGCCCCGGCUACCUCCGUGACAGCAUCCGCGGUGAUACGUAGGGGGCAAGCGUUAUCAGGAUUUACGGGGUGUAAAGGGAGCGUAGACGGCAGCACAAGUCUGGAGUGAAAUGCCGGGGCUUAACCCCGGAACUGCUUUGGAGACUGUGAAGCUAGAGCGCAGGAGAGGUAAGUGGAAUUCCUGGUGUAGCGGUGAAAUGCGUAGAUAUUAGGAGGAACACCAGUGGCGAAGGCGGCUUACUGGACUGUAACUGACGUUGAGGCGCGAAAGCGUGGGGAGCAAACAGGAUUAGAUACCCGGGUAGUC